AUCCAGCUGACGAGUCUCAAAUAGGACGAAGCAAGAAUCCUGAAU
rnacentral:hammerhead_ribozyme from 1 species